AUACGUAGGGAGCGAGCGUUGUCCGGAAUUACUGGGUGUAAAGGGAGCGUAGGCGGGAGUGCAAGUCAGAUGUGAAAUACAUGGGCUCAACCCAUGGGCUGCAUUUGAAACUGCAUUUCUUGAGUGAAGUAGAGGUAAGCGGAAUUCCUGGUGUAGCGGUGAAAUGCGUAGAUAUCAGGAGGAACACCGGUGGCGAAGGCGGCUUACUGGGCUUUUACUGACGCUGAGGCUCGAAAGCGUGGGGAGCAAACAGGAUUAGAUACCCUGGUAGUCCACGCUGUAAACGAUGAUUACUAGGUGUGGGGGGACUGACCCCUUCCGUGCCGCAGUUAACACAAUAAGUAAUCCACCUGGGGAGUACGAUCGCAAGAUUGAAACUCAAAGGAAUUGACGGGG
rnacentral:rRNA from 1 species